rnacentral:rRNA from 1 species
UACGUAGGGUGCAAGCGUUAAUCGGAAUUACUGGGCGUAAAGCGUGCGCAGGCGGUGAUGUAAGACAGGUGUGAAAUCCCUGGGCUUAACCUGGGAACUGCAUUUGUGACUGCAUUGCUAGAGUGUGGUAGAGGGAGAUGGAAUUCCGCAUGUAGCAGUGAAAUGCGUAGAUAUGCGGAGGAACACCAAUGGCGAAGGCAAUCUCCUGGACCUGCACUGACGCUCAUGCACGAAAGCGUGGGGAGCAAACAGG